AUGCCUUCGUUUGCGGGGAAUCCGCGGGUUUCUUCCGCAUCUGUCAGUUGUUACGUCCUAAAUGCUUGCAACCUGGGCAAGUUGUUGCUCGCCGGCAAGAAGCUAGAAUGUCAUUUUCAAGAUACAUCCUCCUCUCCUCAAACAAAUCAACGGAAACGGCCUUUCUUUGUGCAUUGCAGUGUCCAGUCGGCUUUGCAAUGUGCUCCCUCUCACAUCAACUGCCCGGAGUCGAUUGAUCCAUUGGACCCUCCCUGCUUUCAUAUUCCCCCAACUGGC
rnacentral:sRNA from 2 species